GGCAGGCAUCAGAUAAUCGCUCCGACUUUGCGUCGGAGAGGAAAGUCCGAACACACAGUCCCGCCUUGGCGGGAUUAAACGUAGCGGGUAACGCCCGCCCGGUGCAAGCCGCGAGGUGCGAACAGAGACGAGUCCCUCACCUCUAGAGGUGAGGGGGUGAAACGGCUAAAUCCUUACGCGUGUGCAAGAUCGUGUCCCUCACCAAUUUAAAAAAUUGGUGAGGGAAGAAUCGCUUGAGCCCGCGAGUAAUCGUGGGCCUAGAUAAAUGAUUAUCACCCAGCACAUAAGUUAUGUGCUGGGAACAGAAUUCGGCUUAUAGGUGCCUGCAAAAA
rnacentral:RNase_P_RNA from 2 species